CUGUGGUUGUCUUGCAAGAUCGUCCUCCUUGCUAUAUUACCAUUCUCUUAAACGGCAGGAUUUUCGGAAUCUGUAUGCACGCACCUGCAUUUCUCAUCGCGAGUAAUCAUCCUUUGACUAGGUAUUUUGUGAAUGGGACAGUCUCAUAUGCGUUUGGUGAAAAGAAAAGGUCUAGCAAAGAAUGAAGCAUCAUCGGUUUUCUAUACUGGAGCAUUCCACCAACCUCAAAGCCACUUUAUUUUUGGUUGUGCCCUGUAUGCAGUUAUCCAAUACAUAUUAACAUAAUAUAGUUGGACAAAGUUAAGACUGC